rnacentral:rRNA from 1 species
GACAGAGGCCCCGAGCGUUAGGCGGAAUCACUGGGCUUAAAGCGUGUGUAGGCGGAAGAGUAAGUGUCUUGUGAAAUCCCACGGCUCAACCGUGGAACUGCUGGGCAUACUGCGGGUCUUGGGCCAACUAGGGGCAGCCGGAACAAGCGGUGGAGCGGUGAAAUGCGUAGAUAUCGCUUGGAACGCCGAAGGUGAAAACAGGCUGCUGGGGUUGCGCCGACGCUGAGACACGAAAGCCAGGGGAGCAAACGGG